rnacentral:rRNA from 1 species
GAGGCAGCAGUGAGGAAUAUUGGUCAAUGGACGAGAGUCUGAACCAGCCAAGUAGCGUGAAGGAUGACUGCCCUAUGGGUUGUAAACUUCUUUUAUACGGGAAUAAAGUGAGGCACGUGUGCCUUUUUGUAUGUACCGUAUGAAUAAGGAUCGGCUAACUCCGUGCCAGCAGCCGCGGUAAUACGGAGGAUCCGAGCGUUAUCCGGAUUUAUUGGGUUUAAAGGGAGCGUAGGCGGACGCUUAAGUCAGUUGUGAAAGUUUGCGGCUCAACCGUAAAAUUGCAGUUGAUACUGGGUGUCUUGAGUACAGUAGAGGCAGGCGGAAUUCGUGGUGUAGCGGUGAAAUGCUUAGAUAUCACGAAGAACUCCGAUUGCGAAGGCAGCCUGCUGGACUGUAACUGACGCUGAUGCUCGAAAGUGUGGGUAUCAAACAGGAUUAGAUACCCUGGUAGUCACACAGUAAACGAUGAAUACUCGCUGUUUGCGAUAUACAGUAAGCGGCCAAGCGAA